rnacentral:rRNA from 1 species
UGGGGAAUUUUGGACAAUGGGCGAAAGCCUGAUCCAGCCAUGCCGCGUGAGUGAAGAAGGCCUUCGGGUUGUAAAGCUCUUUCAGACGGAAAGAAAACUUCUGGGCUAAUACCCUGGGAGGAUGACGGUACCGUAAGAAGAAGCACCGGCUAACUACGUGCCAGCAGCCGCGGUAAUACGUAGGGUGCAAGCGUUAAUCGGAAUUACUGGGCGUAAAGCGUGCGCAGGCGGUUAUAUAAGACAGAUGUGAAAUCCCCGGGCUCAACCUGGGAACUGCAUUAGUGACUGUAUAGCUAGAGUGCGGCAGAGGGGGAUGGAAUUCCGCGUGUAGCAGUGAAAUGCGUAGAGAUCGGGAGGAACACCAGUGGCGAAGGCGGCUACCUGGACCAGCACUGACACUGAGUCACGAAAGCGUGGGGAGCAAACA